GGCCUUGUAGCCGAGAGGAUAACGGCGUGAGCAUUGUGUCGUAUGACAUAAGCUGGCGGUCCUGGGUUUGAACCCCAGCAGGGCCU